UAUUACAAUUUGUGCUCUGGAGUAGCUGCCCGCUGGUAGUUCUGCCCCCUGCACAGCUUCCACGGUUUUGGAGAUUUAAGCGAGACUAUCAAGGUCAGAGGUGAUGUCUACACAUAUGACUCGGGUCUUGUUGCAGUUCUCAUGCAUACAGGUUACUGUUGCUCAACAGCUUCUCCACCUCCAACAGCUAUACAAGAGUUGCGGGCAACCAUUCGUGUGCUACAAAUUAGUCCGGAUGUUGUUUAAGAAUUAGAUUAGAUUUUUUAUAACAUAGAAUUGUAAUUUUUUUAAAUGUUUAUUUUGGAAUUUGAAUUUAUUUUUUUUUAAAUAUUUUAUUCAUGUUUUAUCAUGUACAUAAUUCAUAUAAAUCAAUGGAAGAUUAAUUUUUUAGUA